rnacentral:rRNA from 1 species
AUACGUAGGGGGCGAGCGUUGUCCGGAAUGAUUGGGCGUAAAGGGCGCGUAGGCGGCCCGGUAAGUCUGGAGUGAAAGUCCUGUUUUUAAGAUGGGAAUUGCUUUGGAUACUGUCGGGCUUGAGUGCAGGAGAGGUAAGUGGAAUUCCCAGUGUAGCGGUGAAAUGCGUAGAGAUUGGGAGGAACACCAGUGGCGAAGGCGACUUACUGGACUGUAACUGACGCUGAGGCGCGAAAGUGUGGGGAGCAAACAGGAUUAGAUACCCUGGUAGUCCACACUGUAAACGAUGAAUGCUAGGCGUAGGGGGUAUCGACCCCUUCUGUGCCGCAGUCAACACAAUAAGCAUUCCGCCUGGGGAGUACGGCCGCAAGGUUGAAACUCAAAGGAAUUGACGGGG